UACGAAGGGGGCUAGCGUUGCUCGGAAUCACUGGGCGUAAAGCGCACGUAGGCGGCUUUUUAAGUCAGGGGUGAAAUCCUGGAGCUCAACUCCAGAACUGCCUUUGAUACUGGGAAGCUUGAGUCCGGAAGAGGUGAGUGGAACUCCGAGUGUAGAGGUGAAAUUUGUAGAUAUUCGGAAGAACACCAGUGGCGAAGGCGGCUCACUGGUCCGGUACUGACGCUGAGGUGCGAAAGCGUGGGGAGCAAACAGG
rnacentral:rRNA from 1 species